UCAAAAUGUCAACAGAGAGAAGAAACGCGCAACAAAGUAGCAUCAAAUGACUGUGAACUUUGCCUCAUCGAUAGCAUUUCUGACUUGUUUUUGUAAAGAAUGUGAAUGAUGAACCGGAGUAUGGAUCAUUUUAGCACACUUAUCGCCGUGGUGUCAGGUGUAACGGUGUUGUAUCUCUUUCACUCAGUCUUUUACGCUUCUCACGUCUCAUUUAAAAUAACUCACACAGUCUUUGACUCCCAGAAGCAUUUGCCAGGUUCAGUUUACCUCAUGACCAGAUACAUUUAUCAAUGUCUCCGCAAAAAACGAGGAACAAUGAGGAAAAACAAAGACACAAACGACGAGCUUGUUUUCACUUUGGUCAACUGCAGGUAUGAUGCCGUAUCUUUGAGGAGGUUCUGCAGUGUUUCAGGUUAUGGUUGGGACUAUCCUGACAGUGUCUUCAGAGACGUUCCCUUAUGCUACCCUGAGUUUCUCUUCACCAGACUUCUCACUAUGAUUAUGUGCUCAGAGAGAUUCAAACUAAGCCCUUUGGGUCUGUUGAGUGUCUGUGAGAGUUUGAGUCUGAGCGAUGCCUUGGAUGAGCUGAAGAGAGAGACGUUCUCCCUGCAGGCUAGAGUGCUGAAGUACAGGACUGUUAGUGCUGGAGUGGAGGUGGAUCUCGCUUUAACUGCAUCUAGAGAUCAGCAGACCGUUUGGAGCAGCACACUGACUCUACUCUCGCCUAACAAUACAUACAGACCUGAUGCUCAGCCUGACUUAGAAAUCACCCAUGGUAAGGGACCCAGUGGUAUUGAAGACUGCAGGCAUAUCAGUGGCUGUGAGGAGCUGUUUUUACAUGUCCUAAUGCAGGACACUUUCAUCAGACAUUUUCAUUUACUGUAUGAACUGAACCUGUGUCUUUUUUCAGAUCCAGUCUCAGAGAGAUGCAUCAGCCUGGCUGUUCCUUGGUCCACAGGUGUGCGGAGCACCUGGGUGUUUGGUGACCUUUGCCCUCUGCCUGUGUUUGUUUGGCUGGGAUUUACCCGUCCCACCACACACCCACUGUGGAUGUUCUCCAGGUGCAUGGCAGAAAUGGAGAAACACAAAGGAGUUGAAGUGGUGAGAGCUCCUCUGACUGUGUCAGUCUGUUACAAACAGCCUGUGUCUUUACCGAGGAAAGUCAACAUCAGAGUCAGUGAAAACACUAGUGUAACCUUAAGCACAGCAUCAUUUUCGUUGGAGGACCACAGAACCAGGACACUGUACCUCUCAGGACAGAUAAAACGACAGACAAGCGAGAAAGCAGAAUGAUGGUGAUGUAAUCCUGACAGAAAGGAUACUAAGCACUCAACGGCUCGGGUGUCAGACAGGGUUAUGGUGGAACUGAGUAACAGAGGCCAUCACAAACAGUGAUCUCAGCCACAAACCUAAAAUACAAGGGCCCUAGGAAGCGACGCUCCUAUACGCUCCUAAUGAUAUUUGAAAUGUCUACUUUAAAGACGAUUAAGGGGACUUAUCAUAGAGAACAGGAAUCCUCUUGCUCUAUUGAACUGAAGGAAUCAAUGUCCUGUGUAGACAGACUCAGUUCACAACACUUACUCCUCAGUCCACUCUUACAGAUACUGUAUAAUAAUUCACAUAUAAAUUAAUAUUCUUUAUUCAGGAACUUGACCCACUCUGAUGAGCUACAGCAGAGGUUAGUCAAUCGUAACAUCAGCCAUUUACACACAGAAGCCUUAAAUAUACAGAAUCAAAACUGCCUGAUUAUUCCUAAGGAUUGGAGAGAGGUUUGAAAAUGGUCAUAUAUGACUAAAUAAAAGGUAAACAUGAAUAAAAAAAAUGCUACAAAAAUGUUAAAUAUUUCUAAUUUAAAUAGGGUUAUAUUCUAUACUUUUGCUUUUAAUUCACUAUUGUAUAAUGCAUAAUGCAUUGUACAUGUGCAGUCAAAUCACUUUUAAUCAGUGUCUGUGUCAGUAGGGGAGGAGUUUGAGUGGAGGGCCGUUUCUCAUGAAUAUUUCAGUCUCUCCAGUCUUUCCUUAUCCUUUCCCUAUGCAUGCACACACGUGUGUAAGUGCUCCAUGUGUAUUAUUCAUUAGUAUGUGUUCAGCGUAUGAGGAGGGCUUUCUCAUAAAAACUGCUUUCAGAACAACUUAACGUGUGUGUAUACACACAGUAUAUAAAAUAUACAAUAUAAAUAUAUUUUCUAUAUUAUGGCAGUAAAUUGACCUUGUUCGCACUGAAACAUUUACUUAAUUAUAAUGAGGAGUUAUCUAUGGUCUCUUACUAUGGUCAAUGUAAUAUAUUUCAUUUUGGGAGACGGAUAGAUGGAUAGAGAUUUUUAAAAUAUUAAUUUGAUUUAUUUUUUGCAAGCA
ensembl:lncRNA uncharacterized LOC107594596